UUGAUACAUUCUGUCCCUUGAAAAAUGUGGGCUGUUUAAUAGGUCCUGACAAUCCUGAAGAGCUAAUUUACCAGCGCUCAGACAAAGCAGCUGCAGCUGAGCUACAAGACAGGAUUGAAAAAAUACUAAAAGAAAAAAUCAUGGACUGGAGGCCACGCCAUCUGACUCGGUGGAAUAGGUAUUGUACCUCUACUCUGCGUCACUUCUUGCCUCUGUUAGAAAAAAGUCAAGGAGAAGAUGUAGAAGAUGACCACAGAGCAGAACUGCUAAAACAGCUGGGAGACUACAGGUUCUCUGGAUUUCCUCUUCACAUGCCUUAUUCUGAAGUGAAGCCUUUAAUUGACGCUGUGUAUAGUACUGGAGUACAUAAUAUUGAUGUUCCUAAUGUUGAAUUUGCUUUAGCUGUAUACAUACACCCAUACCCC
rnacentral:lncRNA from 1 species